AAGGGAAAUUCUACAAGUUGCACUAAUGUGUCUCAAGUUCUUCUUAAGAGUAUUGUAAGGCCUGGGGAUACUAUAGCUAAAGGAACCGUUUUAAGCAUGGAUCCAUUGACAAAUGUAGGGGGGCAAAAACUUGGAGUUGGUUUCUGGGAAGUAUCUGUUCAAGUGGCAAUGGUACGUGUUGAGGAUUUGAUAAGGACCCAUGGACAAUAUAAAACAAUUGGGGAUGCAAUUGGAACGAGUAUUGCUUGGCCCACUACUUUAUGUAUGGUUGUAGACAGAAAUGGAUGAUGACUAAAUGGGAGAGGUUUUUAUUAAGUAUUUGGAACUAUAAACAUCUUUUGUAAGUGGGGUAGUAGGGAUCCGUGGUUUUAGACUUUUGGAUUGAGUUAGACAUAUCUAAAUAGUUUAUUUUUAUCUUAGUUUAAUUAUAGAGGUCACAUCUAAACUCAUCUAAUCUCUUUAAUUUAAUCUUAGUUUUAUAAGAUUAUGAUUUGUGAUUUGAA